GACCCGGUGGCGGAUGGUUCGCAUCUGCUUUCAUGUACUUCAAGAAAGCAGACUGAACAGCAGAAACAGCCCGUUCGACUCGGGCCUGGGUCA